ensembl:lncRNA
GAGGGAACACGUGGCAUUAAGAGGAAAAAAACUUGCCACAUGACUUUACAAAGCAGGAAGUACUGCUGAGCAGCGUCAGAAACCACAUAUCUGUCAUAAAUUUCAUUCCCACUGGUUCUUGUCCAGUAUUUGCCCGAUUAACUGGAAAACAUAUUAACAAGAUGUUUUGCAGAGUUUUCUUCGUGAUACUUGUACUAGGUGUUUUGGGAUCCACUGCCCAAGCUCUAGAUGGAGAAUGUUCAACUGUCAAGUCCUGUGACGUAUGUUUAAAUAGAACUGACUGCACUUGGGGGCAAUGCGCAGGUAUUCCUGCAGUUGUUUGUUAUAAUGACAGUUUACAUACGGAAAAGAACUGCACCCACAUGUCCUGUGAAGGUAAGCCCCCUCUUGUUAUCCAGCAUGUUUGGUAAACAGCAACCACUGCAGGCUAGGCUGUGUGUACCAGCGUUCAGACUGUGACCUGUAGCUGAACACUUCACCAGUGAACUGAGCUGACCGUUUCUUUCUAGGCACAACGUCUAUUCCAGCAUCAACGGCAAACACCACCGUCUUUACUUCUACAGGUAUUAGACUUUGAUGAGCAAUACUGUUUUGAUGAGCAAUACGGUUUGAUGAGAGUAAUGUG